rnacentral:hammerhead_ribozyme from 1 species
AUCUAGCUGACGAGUUCCAAAUAGAACGAAACGCUAGUAACGGAU